UUCUCUCUCUCUUCAGCGUUUCACCCUCUCCCUCUCCCUCUCCCUCUCCCUCUCCGCUGCUUCUCUCCCCUCCCUCUCUCACCGUCGCUGGCCACCGUCCGUCCCCAUCGUCGCAUGUUGCCACCGCCAUCGCUGAAAUCACCACCAACACUACCACAAAUCACAGGGCAGCACAAACUUGGAGGCCAUUCAGAUUAUUAAGAAGCCUGGAGGAUCACUAAAGGAUUCAUUUUUAGAUGAGGGACUCGUGUGCUCAAAGUGGAGAUACACUGUGAUGGGUGUAGGCAGAAAGUGAAGAAACUUCUUCAGAGGAUUGAAGGUUCUCACUUGACCAUGAAUUACUUAGCUAACUCUCCCUUCUCUGUUUUCUAGUUUAUUUUUCCCCAUUACUAGUUCUCUCUAUUUUUCAUCUCUUUAACUGUGUUUGAAGAGUGGUGUUUUGGUUAAUUUGUCCAUUGAUAUUCCUUACUCUGGACCUCAAUGACGUGGGUUUUGUGUGAAAUGGAUAAAUUUUAACAAUGUGCUAUGGUUAGGGCAUUCAAAUUCUUUUGCUUAAUUAUUUGAUUUUGAUAUGAUAUAAGAUAGAAGUGCAGUGCCCUUUUAAGCAAUAGAUUGGAAAGAUGAAAAGCAUUUUGCGGCCAAUCACUCACUAAUUGAAGUCUAAAAUUUGACCUUUGGUGUUUUUUUUUUUUUUUUUUUGGAAAGAGCAACAGAAAGUCACACUUUCAGGAAC